UGUUCAUGGAAAAUCUAAGCUGUACCUAGCACCCCAGCCGCGAGGGGCCAUGACAGCAGCACUGAGCUACCUGCUAGAAGGAAGCUGGAGUUAGCACUUGGGAAUUCACUCCUGCCUCUUCAGUAAGGGAGUGUUGUGGACUAGUCUCACCUACGACGAGCUGGCAUAAAUUGUGAGCUUUUGAUUUAUGAAGUUUCCUAACAGAGGAACUAGAAAGCUGAUCUGUGGAAGGAAAGACUACACUGACCCCCCCCCUCCCCCCUUUGUCUGUGUUGGUUCUGUUUCCCACGGCUUUGAUGGAAUGCCUGUCAGAAACAAUCGCAGAGUCAAGGUCUGUCGGCUCACAGUUUCAGAGGGUGUUGUUCAGUCCUCAUAGCAGGAGAGACAUUGUGGAGCAGCAGCUUAGUGGCAGCGAGAGCCCAUGGCAGAGCCUUGUUCAUGUUGAACAGAGAACAGGACUGGACACAGGUGGGGGCCAUCAAACCCCACCUCUACCAUCCUGACCUCACCUCCUAAAAUUUCCAAACUUGUCUGCUUGCCUCCGACCUUGCCCUUGCCCUUGCUGGCAGCUUUGUCUGCCCUAUUCCUGUGCUCUCACUGGUAUUAGAACCU
rnacentral:lncRNA from 1 species